rnacentral:rRNA from 1 species
UAUGAGAGUUUGAUCCUGGCUCAGGACGAACGCUGGCGGCGUGCCUAAUACAUGCAAGUCGAACGCUUCUUUUCCCACCGGAGCUUGCUCCACCGGGAAAAGAGGAGUGGCGAACGGGUGAGUAACACGUGGGUAACCUGCCCAUCAGAAGGGGAUAACACUUGGAAACAGGUGCUAAUACCGUAUAACAAUCGAAACCGCAUGGUUUCGUUUUGAAAGGCGCUUUACGGUGCCGCUGAUGGAUGGACCCGCGGUGCAUUAGCUAGUUGGUGAGGUAACGGCUCACCAAGGCCACGAUGCAUAGCCGACCUGAGAGGGUGAUCGGCCACAUUGGGACUGAGACACGGCCCAAACUCCUACGGGAGGCAGCAGUAGGGAAUCUUCGGCAAUGGACGAAAGUCUGACCGAGCAACGCCGCGUGAGUGAAGAAGGUUUUCGGAUCGUAAAACUCUGUUGUUAGAGAAGAACAAGGGUGAGAGUAACUGUUCACCCCUUGACGGUAUCUAACCAGAAAGCCACGGCUAACUACGUGCCAGCAGCCGCGGUAAUACGUAGGUGGCAAGCGUUGUCCGGAUUUAUUGGGCGUAAAGCGAGCGCAGGCGGUUUCUUAAGUCUGAUGUGAAAGCCCCCGGCUCAACCGGGGAGGGUCAUUGGAAACUGGGAGACUUGAGUGCAGAAGAGGAGAGUGGAAUUCCAUGUGUAGCGGUGAAAUGCGUAGAUAUAUGGAGGAACACCAGUGGCGAAGGCGGCUCUCUGGUCUGUAACUGACGCUGAGGCUCGAAAGCGUGGGGAGCAAACAGGAUUAGAUACCCUGGUAGUCCACGCCGUAAACGAUGAGUGCUAAGUGUUGGAGGGUUUCCGCCCUUCAGUGCUGCAGCUAACGCAUUAAGCACUCCGCCUGGGGAGUACGACCGCAAGGUUGAAACUCAAAGGAAUUGACGGGGGCCCGCACAAGCGGUGGAGCAUGUGGUUUAAUUCGAAGCAACGCGAAGAACCUUACCAGGUCUUGACAUCCUUUGACCACUCUAGAGAUAGAGCUUCCCCUUCGGGGGCAAAGUGACAGGUGGUGCAUGGUUGUCGUCAGCUCGUGUCGUGAGAUGUUGGGUUAAGUCCCGCAACGAGCGCAACCCUUAUUGUUAGUUGCCAUCAUUUAGUUGGGCACUCUAGCAAGACUGCCGGUGACAAACCGGAGGAAGGUGGGGAUGACGUCAAAUCAUCAUGCCCCUUAUGACCUGGGCUACACACGUGCUACAAUGGGAAGUACAACGAGUCGCGAAGUCGCGAGGCUAAGCUAAUCUCUUAAAGCUUCUCUCAGUUCGGAUUGUAGGCUGCAACUCGCCUACAUGAAGCCGGAAUCGCUAGUAAUCGCGGAUCAGCACGCCGCGGUGAAUACGUUCCCGGGCCUUGUACACACCGCCCGUCACACCACGAGAGUUUGUAACACCCGAAGUCGGUGAGGUAACCUUUUUGGAGCCAGCCGCCUAAGGUGGGAUAGAUGAUUGGGGUGAAGUCGUAACAAGGUAGCCGUAUCGGAAGGUGCGGCUGGAUCACCUCCUUU